rnacentral:rRNA from 1 species
GAUGAACGCUGGCGGCGUGCCUAAUACAUGCAAGUCGAGCGAACAGACGAGGAGCUUGCUCCUCUGACGUUAGCGGCGGACGGGUGAGUAACACGUGGAUAACCUACCUAUAAGACUGGGAUAACUUCGGGAAACCGGAGCUAAUACCGGAUAACAUGUUGAACCGCAUGGUUCAACAGUGAAAGACGGCUUUGCUGUCACUUAUAGAUGGAUCCGCGCCGCAUUAGCUAGUUGGUAAGGUACCGGCUUACCAAGGCAAGGAUGCGUAGCCGACGGUAGAGGGGGAUAGGCGAGAGGAGGAGUGGAACAGGGACAAAAGAACGAAGGGAGGCCGCAGUAGGGAAGGGGAGACAAUAGGGGGAAGUAUUACGGAGCAAGGGGGCGUGUGAAAAGAAGGUGUACGGAGCGUAAUACCGGUCUGCGAGAGAAAAAAGGCCGUGGGAGGAACUGUUGACGUAGCGACGGUAAUGAACAAGAAAGCAACGGCUAACUACGUG